UUCACGCUGGGCAGCGGCACGCAGAAGCUGGCAGGGAAGGAAAUUCGAUUCUUCUGGGCAUGUGCAAAACCUUCAGUGGCUUCUUCCCUUGAAGUGUCUGCACAUGUGCAAUGGGGGAGAGUGACGCCACAAGGAAAGGCGCUCUGCCCGUACCUUGGGCUUUGAGGAGGAAAAGCUCAUCAGAGUGAAAGGGGAGCAGGCAGAGAGAGAGCCGCACGAUGCACGUGGGGAAAGUGGCUGCUGGCCCUCUACCCUGCUGCUGCCCAGUGAGUCCUCUUGUUGCCUUCUGAUGGGAAGGUGCCAGUGCCGAGCUUGUUUUUUCGGGCAGGGCUCCCUGUGCGUCUCACCUCUGCAAAAGCUUUCCUCGACACAUCUCCACGCCAGGAAAAAGGGAAGGCCUCCUUGGAUAUUUUUUGGCAUCACAUAAUCAAAGAAAAUUAAGAAAAUGGACAUCACACAGGGAUUACCCAGAAGAGCCCUGCUAAUUGCCCAUAGUCAGCAAAAUCAGACUACAGAAUUAAGACACCAGGAUUGAAAGUCAUGUGAUUGAAGCCAGGGACUAGGAUCAGAACCUCCAAGAUGGAGUGAUGGGAGAUUUACGCCUCCUGUGUGUGGUGGUGUGAGCAUUCGAUUGGGUACUAAAGUAAGGUAGGGAUUUUUACUUGACUCAGAUGUCCAUUUAUUGAAAUGUCUAAUUUGCAUAAUCUCAAACAUUUAAACAGAAGUAUCUUUUUAAGCAAAUUAAAAACAUAGUACAGCAAAGCAUGAUCCAGUGCUCCAUGCAAGCAGGGGCUUCCUAUUUUUCUCUCCGUGAAGAUACAGGAGGAUCCUCUAAAGCACCCCCGAGGCAUUCCCCUGAUAACAGGGGAAUGCUUCUUUAGAACAGGGAAGCUUCUUUAGGGGUGGAGCUUCAUGUGUUGUACUUUGGAGCCACUGGGUCACAGCCCAGAAAUGUAAUGAAUGCAAAGUCCUUACCCCUGUACUGGCUUAUUCCAGUAUCUUGCAAUGCUUCUAGACACUGGACUUCAUGUAUCUCCUACAAAGGGGAAAUCCCAAUUGUAGACAUCCCCAAAGAUCAUAAUUAAACGUUGUUCUUAGAAAUGUUACUUUUAUUACUGAUUUAUGUUUGUAGUAUGUAUUAGGCUUUUAAUAUCUACUGUCACUUUGGUUUUAAAAUGUAAUUUGUAAUCACGCCUCUUACUUUACUUUACUACUGCUACUUUGAUUUCAAACUUGUAUUAUGGAAUCACCCCUCA